UACGUAGGGGGCAAGCGUUGUUCGGAAUUACUGGGCGUAAAGCGCGUGUAGGCGGCUAAGUAAGUCAGACGUGAAAUCCCUCGGCUUAACCGGGGAACUGCGUCUGAUACUGGAUGGCUUGAGUUUGGGAGAGGGACGCGGAAUUCCAGGUGUAGCGGUGAAAUGCGUAGAUAUCUGGAGGAACACCGGUGGCGAAGGCGGCGUCCUGGACCAACACUGACACUGAGGAGCGAAAGCCAGGGGAGCAAACGGG
rnacentral:rRNA from 1 species